rnacentral:rRNA from 1 species
AGCAGCAGCCGCGGGAAUACGAAGGGUGCAAGCGUUAAUCGGAAUUACUGGGCGUAAAGCGCGCGUAGGUGGUUUGGUAAGAUGGAUGUGAAAUCCCCGGGCUCAACCUGGGAACUGCAUCCAUAACUGCCUGACUAGAGUACGGUAGAGGGUGGUGGAAUUUCCUGUGUAGCGGUGAAAUGCGUAGAUAUAGGAAGGAACACCAGUGGCGAAGGCGACCACCUGGACUGAUACUGACACUGAGGUGCGAAAGCGUGGGGAGCAAACAGGAUUAGAUACCCGUGUAGUCCCUGUCUCUUAUAC